UUUCGGCGAUAUUAUUAAACGCUGGGUGAGACACCGGGGAGAGAGCCCGUAUCAGCUACCGGAAAUCGAAGCCCUGGCCAUAAAUAUACCACAGGAAGUACCACACGCACUCACACAUCUCUCCCCCCCCCUCAUUGUUACUUGCUUAGCCAGUCUUUGCCGCCACCUCCCACCGCCCCAACACACACACACACACACACACACACACACACACACACAUUGGGGAUCAACCGGUGCCCUCUCCUCCUCGAUCCGCAGACACACACACGCACUCCCUGCGAUUAAGAAAGAUACGAAAAAGGCUCCCUCGCCACUAGGAGAUGGUCCUGGCGGGCCAGUGCCAAAUUCACGUUAAGGAAAGGUUCCCUGGUCCAAUGGAACAGCAGAGACCCCUUGAAGAUUUCGGUGUUAAGAGUGUCUUCAUCCAGACCGCUAUUGAGGUCCCAGGUAAAGAUGCAGAUAAUAAAGUGCUCUUCAGUCACCUGAGUUCCCUCCAAGGCAGAUGAUAAGGUUGAAUGGAUUUUACACACUCUGAGGAUGUCUUUGGAAGUGUUGAACUUGGGGGGGAAAUCCCUAUUUUAACUAUGGCAUACUUAAGGCUAUAUUAUGGCCACUUCAGAGAUCAUCCACUCAGCGGUUAUUUUUGGCAAGGAAAGAAAAUAUAAAAUGUAUAAGAAAAUAAAAAUACUAUGAGUUUGUCA